ACCGGGACUCCAUCGCCACCGUCAGAGCUUUCCUGGGUGAGUGAGGCCCCGCUGCGCUGCUGUUGGGCUGUGGAUAGUGUUGUUGUAGGCCCCGCACAAACGCAAGCAGAGUGCUGCUCCCUGGCAGUCGGCAAACCUCGGGUGAGCCUGCGCCUGGCAGCAGAACCAGCUCCCCAGGGGUCUGUGCCAGCCCUGGGGGAAGGGACUGAGCUGGGAGUGCCCAUGUUUAUCCUCAGGCCAUACGUGAGGGGAGAGAAGAAAUCCUUUGUGUGGACAUGCCGCCCCUUGUUGCCUCCUCAGCUGCUAACGUGAGAGAGGCAGAGACCUCUUGUCCAGCAGAGGAAGCUGGGGGUUGUAGAGCUGAGAGGGGAGGGACAGGACAGGAUGCUCCUUGGGCUGCUUUAUCCUGGCUUGGUGCUAGGCUUGGAUCCAGAGGCACAAAGGUCCAGGCGCUACAUGCUCAUCGGUGACUGCUGUUCUCACCCGGGGCAGAAAAUUGGAAACAGGAGGAACCGCAGGAGCUCCUGGGGGCCAGGCGCUGGCGUGCAUGGCUGAGCCCUUCUGGCAAGGUCGACUUCAGUUGUGCUCGUUCAGAGCCACCCUCCCUGACCCACUUUUCCUCCUUCUCUGCAGAUGACUUUGAAUCCAAAUAUUCCUUUCACCCUGUCGAAGACUUUCCAGCCCCAGAAGAGUAUAAAUACUUCCAGAGGAUCUACCCCAGCAAAACAAACAGAGCUACCCGUGGGGCCCCCCCUCUGCCUCCCAUCCCCAGGUGAAAGUGAGCUGUGCAGGGAGGUUGUUCCUGAGCAAAGAUACGGACCUACUUCCCCUUCCUCAGAUGGAUCCUCCCCACCUCCCUGCCCUCUAGGAACCUGCAUGAGAAACUCCCAGCGUCUUUGGUUUUCCCAGCUGUGCAAGGAAGAGCAGAUAACUCCAGCUCAGCUGUCUCUGCCAGCCCACCUUCAUCUAUGCAUCUCACCCUGGACUUGGUGACCUUGCUGGCAAGCCCGGAUGGGCCCUUUCCUCCGCGCUCUCGUCGCAGAUCCUGGAUUGUGUCGGGACGGCGCUUCCAGCUGUGGUCUGGGCAUCCAGGCAUGAGAACUUGGGGCAGACGCCGAACCGCGCCGAGACCAGUUGAUGGUGUUGGGACCAGAACCGGCUCAGUGCCCCUUUUUCCUCUGGGCUAAGGCAGGCUGAGGGUGUUGUGUGGGCUUGGAAAGGAGCUGGGGUAGGUCACAUUUGCAGAGGGGUACAGGAAAAGGGGCGUCUCUGAGGGCGCUCCAUCUGGGACACUCAUGGGCAGAAAUGCUGCGUAUUAAUCCAUUAAGCUAACAGCGA
rnacentral:lncRNA from 1 species